rnacentral:rRNA from 1 species
CUCGUAGGCGGUUUCGUAAGUCGGAUGUGAAAACUCAGGGCUCAACCCGGAGACGCCAUCUGAUACUGCGAUGACUGGAGUCUGGUAGGGGAACACGGAAUUCCUGGUGUAGCGGUGAAAUGCGCAGAUAUCAGGAGGAACACCGAUGGCGAAGGCAGUGUUCUGGGCCAGUACUGACGCUGAGGAGCGAAAGCGUGGGGAGCAAACAGGAUUAGAUACCCUGGUAGUCCACGCCGUAAACGUUGGGCACUAGGUGUGGGUCCUCAUCAACGGGAUCCGUGCCGUAGCUAACGCAUUAAGUGCCCCGCCUGGGGAGUACGGCCGCAAGGCUAAA